UAGGGUGGUUAUUGCAUUGGGGCUCACCUCUUCCCAUCUCGAACAGAGAAGUUAAGCCCAAUAGCGCCGAUGGUACUGCAUUUAUGUGGGAGAGUAGGUCGCCGCCUUUC
rfam:Polaribacter sp. Hel1_85 PHEL85a, whole genome shotgun sequence.